rnacentral:lncRNA from 1 species
UUGGGUUCUACAAGAAAAUGAGCUUAUACAAGAAAGGGAGAAACAUUGAACAUGUCAGUAAUGCGGUUGAACAUACCAAUAAUUUUAUUGAACGUUUGGGGUUUUUAGGGUUCGAAACCUAGAUACGUCCAACACAAUUACCGAUACGUUCAUCAAAAAUCUGGAUGCGAAAUUUAAACUUAAUUAUUGACCGUUCCAUAGAUCAUGAUCAAUGACUGAGAUUAUUUUACCUUUCUUUGCAAAUAUUUAUUUUUCUAUUCAACUUCCUCCUAUAUAUAUAUAUAUUGUUUAAAUAAUAUUAGGUGAGAUGAUGGAGUUGAAUUAAUUAACUUUGACGGGUUCCAUGAAAGAAGAAGCAGAAAUAUAAACAAUAGAGAAGAAGAGAUGAUAUCGAAAUCACUUAUUCUUAGACAUGGUCGAAGAUACACAUGCGGUAAUUUAUUAGGAAGCAAGAUCGUAUAGCCGAUGGGCUAAUGACUCAUGCAUUUAUUAUAGAUGGAUAUAUAGAGAGUGUUCAACGGGGGCAGAUGCAGGGGCCCAUUCCGCACUUGGACGUCACAGUGCAUAAAUUCCGAUUCAUAGGAAACGGCAGUUUCAUCAUCUUCUCCCACACUGCGCUGCACCGGCAAUUAUCCGAGCUCAGCUGCCUCAGCUCCUCGCAGCACUCCUCCAGGUAUUUCUCCUCGGCGGCCACGCGGCUCCUCAGGAACGCGCCGCCGUAGGGCUCGCUCAUCGCCCACUUAAUGCAGCUCUUCAUCGCCACCUCCGACUCGCACUGCUCGGCCUUGAAGGCGGAGGCGCUGGCCACGGUCACCGCGGCGAAGAAGAGGAGAGUGAGAGCUGUCAGCUUGGCCAUUUGGUAAGUGGUGAUAUCUAACAAGAUGCUUGUUGUGUGGAUGAUAGGAGUGAGGAAGUAGGAAUGGAUAGCGCCGUAUUUAUAGAGGAUUUAAGCGAUUUGAGUGGCUGCCCUUUUAUGCAUGUGUUAAUUAAUGUGAUCACAUUUUAUAAAUGGGCUGCCAUUUUAUGCAUGUGUUAAUUAUGUGAUCACAUUUUAUAAAUGGGCUGCCAGUUUAUGCAUGUGUUAAUUAUGUGAUCACAUUUUAUAAAUGGGUGUGCAUUGACGUUGGUCGGUUUAAUUUCUCUACGUUUUAUUUAUAAUACAUUAUUCUAUUCAUAUAAUUCCUUCCAUGUGAUGAAUUGGUAAAACGAAGAAAGACAAAACCCCAUCCAUGUUGAUGAAAGAUAUAUAUGACCUAGAUUAGUAUAUAUUGGAAAUAUUCUGAUCAAUUUUAAUUAAUUAGUAAAUAAUUAAAUUAUUAAAUUAAUUAAUGGGAGAUAGAAGAAAAAUCCAACCUAUUUAUCUAAGAUAAUAGGCGGCUAUUACUCCUAUAAAAAUAGGAAUAGAUUUCUUUUGUCAGACAUUUGAAAUCACACAUAAACACAAGAGAGAAAAUUUCUACCUGCAGACAUUUAAAGAAUUCAAUCGGAGAUUUUCUACCUUUCGAAGAUUGAAUUGUGCACUGAAGAGCUGGUAUUGUUUUUGCAUAUGAUCUGCAAUAUAUGUAGAUAUCAUAGUUGUAGAUUCAACUGCAGUAAUUUCUACAAGAUUAUUUGCUACGUAGUAGGUAAUUUAUUUUAACUACUUUAAUUAUUUAUGUGUUUAUAAUCUCUACAUACUAAUUGUUUAUAUCACUAGAUCAUAUUCUUCACUAUUAUUUAUGCUACCUAUUAUUAGAUGAUGUCAAAUAUUUUCAACAGUGAUAUUAGAGCUCGGGGCUCGAUAUAUAAUUGUCUUCGUGUUCUUAUUACAUUGAGCUAGAAAGAUGUGAUGAAGAAAGACAGAACUCCAUUCAUGUUGAAUCAAACUAGGUCGAUUUGGAAAUUAGGACAAUAACUUUUGGAUUUGUAAAAAUAGGACACUAAUUAAUAAGUUGUUGCACCCGCAGGACAUUUAUGGGCCAAUUAUUGAAUUUUGGGACUUUUUUGCACGGACCAAGCAUAUAACGAUCCGCACAGAGGGGUUGAUUAUGUGGCAAUCACGUCAUUUUUAUGGCUCCAGAUAGGAUGUCAUGUGCUUGGUCCAUGCAGGAAAGUCCGAAAAUUUGAUAAUUGGCCUAGAAAUGUCCUGCGGGUGCAACACUUAUUAAUUAGUGUCCUAUUUUUACAAGCCCAAAAAUUAUUGUCAUAAUUUCCAAAUCAACCUAAGUUACUGUCCUAAAAAAUUCUCUGACUCUUACAUUGAUCUAGAAAGAUAAAACCCGCAUUAUUACGCAUGGCAUGAGCUAGCUCUAGCUUAUUUAUAGGCGAGAGUUUAAGGUAGUUUGCUCGUAUUAGGUUAUACGGUUUACAAUGAAAUAUAUUAUAGACUAUAGAUUAGAAUAUAUUUGAUAUAUUUUAAUAACCUUUAAUUAAUUAGUAAAUAGUUAGAUUAUUGAAUUAAUUAAUUGAACAGAAAAGAAAAAUUCCGUCUAUUAAUCUAGGAUUACAAAUGUGUAUUAUAGGAAUAUAUUUCUUUGUCCGAUAUAUGUAAUAUUAUAAAAACACUAGAGAUAAAAUACUUGGAGCAGCACUAUUGAAUUCAAUUGGAGAUUUGAAUAUUCCUACAUCGAAUCUGCAUUAUACGUGGAUAGCUUAGUAGUUGAUUCAAUUGCAGAAUUGCUAUAGGAUUGUUUGCUACACAACAAGUAAGUUAUUAUAUAGCUAGCUAUUGUGUUUAUAAUCUCUAUACACGAAUCACUUGUAAAUCUAGAUCUUAUCCUAGAUUAUAUUUUUCAUUGCGUAUCAAUAGAUGAUGUCAAGAAUUUCUAACAAUGGUAGGAGAGCCCGGGGCUUGAUUUAUAUAAUUGUUUUUUGUUUUAAUUAAUUAUGGGUAAAUUAAAUUUGAUUUAGAGAUCUGAUUUUGGAAAUUAACGAUUUUGAAUUGGAAUAAAAAUUUAUGAAAUUUGCUGGGCAAUUUAAUAUUGACCAGCUUGCUCCGAUUCUUCACCGGAUUUUGAUUCAUCGCCAGACAACCGUAUCGCCGUGCAAGUGAGGAGGGUGAAAAAAAACGAGGAGGCGAUAGUGGCUCGGGCUAGCCGGUGUGCUAGUGAUAAAGGAUCCGUUGAGUGAGCCCCUUGAAUUCUUCUUUCGCAUGGUCGAAAGAGUUUGAGAGUGAAAGAGAGUUUCUUGAUAUCUGAUGUAACCUUGGAGGUGUUAUAAGAGCAUCAAAUGGGGCUCGAAAAAAGGCUCGAGCCCCCCUGCUCCGCGCCCUCCACCGUUGCCGCACCGAGGGUGCAUGAGCCCGCCUCCCCUCUUCGCAUCGGACUCAAACUGGGAAAAGGUUGGGCGCGUCUCCAGCACCGCCCAAUCAAAAAUUCGCCGCAAUUAAAAAAUAAAAAUAAUAAAAAUCUGUUUUUAAUGUUGGAACUAGUAUAAACAAAUACAACAUAUGUUUCAAAAAUAUAAUAUAAUAAUUCAGAUCAAUUACUCAAUAAAAUCAUGAAUUUAAAAAUAUAAAUUUUCAAUUUAUACAAAGUGCAAUGAUAAUUAUAAUUAUUAAAUAAAUUUAAAAAUUAUUUGAUAAUGAAAAUUUGCAUUAUGCAUAAUAUUAUAUAUUAUUACACAUCAUAAUAAAUAUUUUCAUACACAAACAUCAAUAAAAAGUUGUAAUUUUUAAAUGAAGAGAUAGAAAAUAAAAUAUUUUAUACUUUUCAUAACUUAUUCGUUUUAAAUUCGUUUUUGAUGAUUUUUAUACUAUAUUGAAUUUAAGAUCCAUAUGAUUAUUUUUUCAUGAAUUAAAUUUGAUGAUGUUUUAGAAAAUAAAUAAAAUAUAAUAACAUAAAAAGAAAAAAAAGUGAAAAAUUGGUGGAAGAAGAGAUUAGAAAAGAGAGGGAACACAUGGAAGGGAAAAACUCCUCUUUUAUUACUCCGUACUAUAUAGAUUGUCAAUUCUAAUCUAAUAUUAAAUUUAAUUAAGACAUAAUAAUAACAAAUAUGUUAAUAUAAAGAAAUAUAAAAAUUACAAAAUUUUAAUAAAUCUAAAUCAUAUUUGAAAAUCUUUUUUUAAGAUUUAAUUAAUUAAUUAUCUAUAAAUUUAUAUUAAUAUAAAUUACAACUUUUAAAAUUUAUUUUUAAGCUAAAGAGUUCUACAAUGAACAAAUAUAAGUCUAAUCUUUUUAGUUACAUUAAAUUGUUAUAGCAAAAAAAAUAGAAAUAGAAAAUAUUAAAAAAUGAUGUCUAACAAAAAUAUAAAAAAUAAAAUAAAAUAAAUAUUAGAAAAAGAACGAAAUAGGAAAAAAAGAAAAUAAAAAAAAAAUGAACGUGAUAUUCAAAGAAAGGAGGUAGGAGAGAGGAGAGUAUAGAUGAGAGAUGAGAGAGAAAAAAAUAAUUUUGUGACUUUAAAUGAUAAUAAUUUAUUUAUUUUAAAUUUAUUUUUAUAAUUUUUAUAUCAAAUUAAAGAUCUUAUCAUCAUCUUUAAUUUAACAUCCAUAUCAAAUAUUUUUUUAUAAAUAAAAGUUCAUGGUUUCUAAAAAAGAAUCAAAACAAAAAAUGAAAAGUGAAAAGAGAAAUUUUUGUAGAAAAAAUUCACGCAUGUUUUUUAUAUAUAUAUAGAUUAACUAAUAGAUGUCUAAUGAGUAAAUUGUGGGAUUGAUCGUGGGAGAGAGAAUAUAAUUUUUUAUGUGAGAGAGAAAAGACGACGGUAAAAUUUUACCGUUAAACUGUUCUUUUAUAUUAUAUAUAGAUUGUACCGUUGGAGGAGGCAGCCGUUGCUCAACAGAUGUUUUCAAUUUUUUUUAAUUAUUUCAAUUUUCCUUUAUAUAUAUAUCCCUCGUUCACUUCUUCAUUCAUAUCUCUCAUUCACUUCUCUCUAAUCCUUUUCUAAAAAAAAUGUCAUCAUCCAACAAUUCUUCAAAUCAUUCUUCCAUCAAUUCUUCAUAUGACGAAGAAGUUUCAAACACACGACUUCCUCCUAUUCCCAAUCCUAUGCAAAAUCCUGAAGGAUUUUUUAUGAGUCUUGCUGCAAAUUUCAUGCAAGUGGCGAGUUCAUAUCGAUUCGAUCCUCCUCCUCUACCGAAGAAGAAGCGUAAAGUUAUUCUCCGUGAUCGUGAAGGUGGUGGCGAGCGCCUGCAUCGAGAUUAUUUUGCUCCCGAUGCAAUUUAUCGGCCACAAUUAUCUAAAUUAAUGUUAAGUAAUUUUUCAUUACUUUUCAUUUUUUUAAUUUAAUGUAAUGUUUGAUUUUUAAUUUAAUGAAUUUUAAGUUAUUAAAUUUAAUGUUAAUUUUAAUUAAAAAUAACAAUAAAAUUAUAUAGAAAAUGAAAAUAGAAAUUAGAGAGUCAAGAGGUGGGUUGUCCCAUUGUGGAGAGUGGGCUCUUAAAUGGUAGAGACCAUAUUUAAGAGCCCACCUUAGCUCUCCAUUGUGGAUGCUCUAAGGUGCAGAUUGGAAAUGUAGAAACUUGGCUGAAGUGGGGCUAUCAAUUGGAGAUCAUGGUUGAUGGAAAUGAGUUUAAUUUAAUAGUUAUGAUGUGUUCUUGGCCAAUUAAAAUCCUUAUGGAAUACCUUUGAAAAAAAAAUUCCAUAUGAAAUAAGAAUUUGAUCUGUAAAAUUUCUUCAGAGUUUUACUAAAUAAAUAUCUAGUAGUCUAUAUAUGUUCGAAUGCUCAACUUGAAUAUAUAUGUAAUUCAUAAAAGUUUAGAUAAGUUAAAAUUUAUAAAAGAUUUGUAAAUCAUUUUAGUUGGAAUUAAAAAUAAAUUCGUUUUUAUUUCUUCGGCGUAAAUCAUCUUAAUCUAACUUCAAAAUUUCUCUAAACUUAGUAAAAAAGGAACAUGGUAUUACACUUUUUUAUAAAUAUUUUUGUAUUAAUUUUAAUAUAACUUUGUAGAUGAAUAAGUAGUAUAUAUAUAUAUAUAUAUAUGUGUGUCAAUAUAUUAAAGUAGCCUAUUUUAUAUAGCAAAAUUAAAAUUUAGCCUAGAGGAUAAAAACAUAAAAUUUUAGCCACUUUUUGCGCGAAAAGACUAAAAUACCCCUCCAUAAAUAUGGGCAAAUUCUGUCUGUGUAGCAUCGCUCCUUCUCUUCCUUCUCUCUCUCGCUCUCUCUCCCCUCUUCUCUCUCUGUGUGCUCAUCGUAUAAGCAGCGUCGUUCAUCCGCAGUCGGCGGCGGAGCAUCAUUCUUCUCCGGCGUCGGUGCUGGCGCUGGAGGCAGUUCCUGCCGAGGUUCAGAGGUGAGGGGGAGCAACGGCGGUGGCGGUCUGUGACUGUCGGCGCUGGGAAUCGAAAUUAGAGGCGGCAAUUUUCGGAUCUAGGGCUGAGUGUUGAAAGAGAGAUGGGAGGGAGAUUUGGGGGAGUUGCGAUGGCAGCAGCUCUGCCACUGCUCGGAGUCAUGGUUCUGAUGAAGAAGAACGUGCUCGGAGUGAACAACAUCGCGGCGUUGGUCACCGAUCGAAUCGACGAACUUUUGGGGAGGAAGAUCGCGCUACAGCUCAUCGGCAUCUUCACCCCCUUCCGAUGCAUGUACUCCGACAGAAACUCCAAUCCAGCAAAAUAAUUGACCUCCGCGUAGCCGCUGCCCCCGCCGAAGAGGAGACCGCUAAAGGCAGCGAAGAAGAGGCGAAAUUGGAUGUUUGGAUGAAGGAAAGGAAAGUGUUAUGCACAUUUCACUAAAUAAUUGUAAUCAUUAUCUUUAUUUCCUUUGAAAUUUUCGAUGUGAAAUUUGAUUGUAUUUUUUUGGAAACAUUUCUCCCUAUUGUUUCCAUUUCUUUUGGAUGUUAGUAUUUUUUCAACAAUGCUCAUUUAAUUCUCUCCCGUUAUAACCAUGUUUGUGAUGAAGGAUUUUCUGCACAAGCAAUAUUUUGAAUAUAGCAUUUGGUAAUAAUAGUGUUGUUCGUUUAAUUCAUGCCCAUUAAUUGUUAUUAUUCAUGAAUUUAUUAAUUGUGAAAGGUAAUAUUUACCAGUUUAUGAAUUUGUUAAUUCAUGUGAAUUAAUUGCUCGAUCUCCUUUUUCUUCUCGAGUAUAUCGGAUCUGAGGCUUUGUUUUUGAACGAUGAUUUGUGAGUUUUAUUGGAGACAUUUGAUCGAUUGAAAGAGAAAGAGAUUUUGAAUGAUUGAUUAAAGCUCUUGAAUUCACAAUCACAUUUAUGAAUUCACAACUUAAUGUUCUUGAAUUCACAACCAGAUCUAUGAAUUCACAAUUUAAUGUUUUUGAAUUCACGUUCAUAUCUAUAAAUUCACAACUAGAUCUAAUACACAAUCACGACUAGAUCUAUAAAUUCACAACUCAAUGUUUUUUGAAUUCACGACCACAUUUAUGAAUUCACAACUUAAUAUUUUUGAAUUCACAACCAGAUCUAUGAAUUCACAUUCAAAUACAUUACAAUUUUAAUUGUGAAUUCAAACUUUAAAAACUCAAAUUCACAACUACUUGAAUUCACAACCAAAAUAAAUUCUAGUUGUGAAUUAAAUUCAGAUUGUGAAUUCGACUGAUUGUGAAUUCACAACCAACAUAAAUCUGGUUGUGAAUUAAAUUUUGGUUGUGAAUUCGUUUGGUUGUGAAUUCACAACCAAAAAAUUCUAGUUGUGAAUUAAAUUUUGAUUGUGAAUUCGUCUAGUUGUGAAUUAAAUUUUGGCUGUGAAUUCGACUAGUUGUGAAUUAAAUUUUGGCUGUGAAUUCGACUAGUUGUGAAUUCACAAACAAAAAAUUCUGGUUGUGAAUUCGACUGAUUGUGAAUUCUCAAUUCACAACCAGUGUGAAUUCACAACCUAAAAUUUUUUGGUUGUGAAUUCACACUGGUUGUGAAUUGCGGGUAUUUUUUAAAGGGGGAUGUAAAGUGGACUAUUUUUUUUAAUUUUAAUGUGAAGGGUAUUUUGAUAACAAUGGACAUUUUUUAAGUUUUUUAUUUUAGUGGACAUUUUUUAUCUUUAUAAUAUGAAAGUGGACCAUUUUAAAAAUGCACUCUUUCUAUUAUANNNNNNNNNNNNNNNNNNNNNNNNNNNNNNNNNNNNNNNNNNNNNNNNNNNNNNNNNNNNNNNNNNNNNNNNNNNNNNNNNNNNNNNNNNNNNNNNNNNNNNNNNNNNNNNNNNNNNNNNNNNUAUAUAUAUAUAUAUAUAUAUAUAUAUAUAUAUAAAAGUAUAAUUUCAAAUAUUAUUUUUUAUUUAUAUUUGUGUAUUAGUAUUUAUUUAUUUAUUUAUUAUGAUGCGUAAUACUUUAUAAUUAUAAUAAUAAUAAUUUUCAUUAUCAAAUAUAAUUUUCAAUUAUUUAAUAACUAGAGUUAUCCUUACACUUUAUACAAAGUUGAAAAUUUACGUUUUCAAAUUCAGGGCUUUAUCGAGUAAUUGGUGCAAAUUAUUUUAUCAUAUUUUUAAAAUAUAUUUUACAUUUGUAUAUAUUUUGACUAUUUAAUAUUUAUAUUUAUUUAUUUAAAUAUUAUCGUUUAAUUUCGAUACUCGUUGUACAUCGCACGGGAGAACGUAUUAAUAACGGUUAUUAAUAUAAGUCUUUUAAUAUUUUUAAAAUCGAUCGCUAAUUCAGUUGUUAAAAAUAAAUUUUUUAAUUUUAUUUUUUUAUAUUUUAUUCUUAUUUUAAAAUCGGUAAGAAUUUCUUAAACAUUUUUUAAAAUAUAAUUCACAAAUAUAUUAAUAUAUUUUUAUUAUUUUAAAAUUGAUUGUUAAUUAUGUCGUAUCUCUUUCGCCGACACCACAAGUCUUAGAUAUCUUUCUCAACAUAUUGAUGGGGAGUUUAAAUGAAUUAAUAUGUGCUAAUUAUAUCAAUAAUACACAUAUUCUAUCGAAAAAAAACUUCUAACUUAAUUGUUCUUGACUUAUAGUACUUUCAGGAGGGGUGACCCACAAUUAUAUUUAAUAAUUCAAAUUCAGUUAUAUAUAUGCUAGCAUUUGGACCCAUGCAAUGCACAAGAAUAAUUUUAUAUUUCGUUAUUCAACAUUUCUUUAAAUAACUAUAUAUUAACAAAACGAAUUUAAAAUACAAAAGAUAUAGACAUAAUUUACAGUCUCAAUUUAUUAGGUAUUUCUUCAAUUUUUUAUAUUAAUUAUGAUUUUAAAUUAUCUUUAAUUUACAAAAUCGUCAUUUAAAUCAAUUUAAAAUUAAUAGUUACAUUUUUAAUAUAGUAUAGAUGAGAUACAACUAUACAAGUGACAAGUCUAGUGAUGGAAGGGCAUUUUCGUAAUACAACUAAAGAAGUUUUUUUUUUUUUUUUAAAGGUUACUNCCAUAGGUUCCUAAAAUAGCUAAAAGAAUUCAAAAUACCAAGUUUUUGGUGAAUUGACCAAUUUAACCAUAAUCUAUAUUUAUACUAAUAUAAAAAUUGUAUUAGGUAUGAUAUUAAUUUAUUUUUAUAGUCUUAUUAGACCAUCUUCGUCGGUUCUAUUAGUGUUUUGUUCUUAGGUGGAGCUUGUGUUCGGCAUUAAGUUUAGGGUGCAUGAGUUUAGAAAUCUGUUUUCUAUGAGGCACUAUUGUUGCUCACUGAGGUGUAGUCUUUUUUUUUUCUUUGCUUAACGCUCUUAGUGUUGUUCUUUGUGAUUGUUUUGUCUCUGUGGCUUAGUGACUUUGUGGCUUUCUUUUAUGAUGAUCUUUGUAUCGCUUGUUAUCUUCGUGAUCCUGUGUGCUUUGUGAUUUGUGCUAGCUCUAUUUGUGGUUAUUUUUCGUGGUCUUUUGUGUUCGACUAUCCUUAUGUUAGUUUGCUUCGUGCUUGGUGUUGUUUUUCUCUUGGGUGUGUUUUGCAAGAGUUAACAUGGUUAGUUUACCAUUUGAUCUUUGUGGUCUUAUGUUUCCCUAUUUUAUCUUUGUGAUCUUACAAGGGGCAUCGACGAUGAUGAUUAUUUGUUGAGUUUCCUCUUUGAUGCACACAACACCACGAUUGGGCCAAAUGUGAAGAUGUUGUUUGUUGGCCCAAUAGCUCAAUACGGCCCAACCCCUUACCUUGUUAUUUUGGAACGCCCCCUAUUCCUUCCCUCUGUACUUCGGUUUGUGUCCGUUGCUACUUCUUUCCUUCUCUGCAAUUCUUUCUUUUACAGUCUUUUCUUUGGGGCUUUUUAAGGUACCGCUGCAACUGUAGGUGCGCAAGUUAAUGAAUUAUUGGUCGUGUUGUCUGCGUUGUUGUUGUUCCGUCCAUUGGUGCUGCGUUGCUGCCUCAAGUGGAGAUCAUAUGCCAACGACGUCGAGGAUCUAUACCCAACAAGUUUAUAAGCUUUGGCCAAUUGUGGGAAAGAAGGCAAACCACUAGGUGAGCUUUGUAUCACUUCAUUAUCAUCCUAAGUGGGAGUAGGGCUUUGUGAACUUGAAGCCUUGAAUGGCGGGCCUCAGUUGAGAAAGAUGCAACCUCACAAACUCGGAGCUCUCGGCCAGAUCGCGCCAUGACAUGCAAACACACUUGGUUUGCAGCUCACAAUCGGAUGGGGAGUUUUGAGAUGAUGUUGAUGAUCAUUUCUUGGGGCAGAUUAUUGAAGCGAUCUCGAUCCUGAUUGGUCUGUAUAUUUUGGAGAAUUUGCAAGACAUAAUUUGAGGGAAUAAUUGAGAUCCUGAUUGGUCCGCAUAUUUUGGAGAAUUCGCAAGAAAUAAUUUAAGGAAAUAAUUGAGGAGAGUUUGGGGAGAGAAGAGAAGAACGAGAUGAGGGUGAAGAGAAGAAGAUGCUUUGUGAUGAAAUUUUGUGAUAACAAUUGCCUAGUUCUACAACUAUAUAUAAUUGAUUAAUCCUAGAACUGGUGGACAAUAUUAAUCAAGAUAAUUUGUUAGGUUUCCUUGUACGAAUUGGUGUUAACAAAAAUUUCCUAGUUUUACCACAAAUGUAUAAUUGAUUAAUCCUAUUAUAACUACUAGUGUAUAACCCGUCGAAAUUUCGACGGGACUUUAAAUUAUGUAUAUUAUUUUUACAUAAUAUAAUUAUUUUUAAUUAAUUUAAUUUGAUGUAAUAAAAUUUACAUUAUAUUAAUCUCAAUUAUAUUCGUCAAUUAAAUCUUAGUUUUUUUGCUAAAAUAAUAAAAAUACUUGUUUAUAUAAUUUUUUUUAUACUUUUUCUAUUUUGACGCAUAAAAGUUAAUUUAAGAUCUCAUAUGUCAUAUAAGCAUCAUCUCAUCUCAACUCUGUAAGAUUAGAAGAUCAUCAAGAACUCGAAAGACAAUAUUUGACUUUUGAACGCUAAACUUUUAAGCAUUAUUUCGUCUGGAUCCUGAAACACUAUAUCUGACUUUUAUGCGUCAAUCGUUUGAACAUCAUCACUAUCUGAUGCUUUAAAUAUCAUAACUCACUUCUUAAACAUUAUUUCAUUAGGAGCUUGAAAGACCAGGACUGACUUGUGAGAUUAUACAAUUUGAAGCUUAUAAGAUCAUAACUAACUUUUAAACAUCAUCUUGUAUGGAGCUUGAAAAAACAUAACAGACUUAUGUGCAUCAUCUCAUUUGAUGCUUAAAAUACCAUAACAGCAUUUCAAGUAUCAUUUCGUUUGAAGUUUGAAAUAAUAAAACUGGCCAGUAAGCAUCAUCUUGUUUGAAGUUUGAAAGACCAUAACUAAGUUUUAAGAAUCAUCUCGUCGAAGGCUUAAAAAAUUGAUAUGAGAUUCAAAUUAAUUCAUGUCAAUUUAUAUGCGAAUAUUUAUUUAUCAUAACUAUUUUAUAUCCUACGUGGCACUCUCACAAUUUAUUAUUUGCUUCACCCUCAAUUCUAUACUAUAUGACAUUUUUACAUUUGUUUUCAUCAAUCCAACAUUGAGUUUAUACAAAACUUCAUCAAUUCAUAACCUAAAUAAAAGGCUCAAUUUCCAUGAAUACAUUAGCUCAUCUAUCUUUCCCACAUUGAUAUUCUUUUAAAUUUAAUCAAGGAAAAAUCUAGAUAAAAAAAAUACUUGUAAUAUGUAUUUCAAAUAAAUAGUUUUCAUUUUUUUUUUAUAAUUGCAAUAGCUUUUUGCAGUAAAUUUAUAUUAAACUUCAUAAUUAAAAGUCUAAAAAAAAAUUGUAAUUAGAUUUAAAUAUUUGCAAACCUCAAUAAAAAUAUAUAUGUUUUUAAAAUAAAUAGGUUCGUCAAUUGAAUGUUCAAUUUUUUGAUAAAAUAAUAAAAAUACCCUUUUAUAUAAAUUUUGUACGAUUUUUCUGUAUUGACGGAUAAAAGUUAAUUUAAGAUUCAUAUGUCAUAUAAGCAUCAUCUCAUCUCAACUCUAUAAAACCAGAGGAUCAUCAAGAACUCAAAAAAUAAUAUUUGACUUUUGAACGCCAAACUUUUAAGCAUUAUCUUGUCUGGAUCCUGAAACACUAAAUUUGACUUUUAUGCAUCAAAUAGUUUGAACAUCACUAUCUGAUACUUUAAAUAUCAUAACUCACUUCUAAAUAUUAUUUUCAUUAGGAGCUUGAAAGACCAUGAUUGACUCGUGAGGUUAUACAACCUGAAGCUUAUAAGAUUAUAACUAACUUCUAAACAUCAUCUUGUUUGGAGCUUGAAAAAACAUAAUAGGCUUAUGUGCAUCAUCUAAAAUACCAUAAUUGAGUUUCAAGCAUCAUUUCCGUUUGGAGUUUAAAAGAAUAUAACUGGCUAGUAAGUAUCAUCUUGUUUGAAGUUUGAAAGACCAUAACUAAGUUUCGAUAAUCAUCCCGUCUAAGGCUUAAAAAGAUUAAUACGAGAUUCAAAUUAUAUCAUAUAAAUUUAUUUAGUAUCUCAAUUGGUAAAUUUUCAUAAAAAAUCAAUGUGUAAUCCAACUUUUACAAAUAAAAAAAUUGUGCAAAAUAUCUUAUUUUAUGACAAAAUUUAAAUGAAGAAUUAUUUAUUUAAUCACAAGUAUUUAUUUUUAAAAAUAAAAUUAAAUAAUUUUUUAUUUAACCAAAUAAAAUUGAUCAAUCAUUCCACCAAUUAAAUGUGAAAAUUUGGUUUGAAGAGUAAGAACAUCCGUUUAUAUAGGUUUAAUUUUGGUGAAAUCACAUAAAAAAUCAAUAUGGGAUGAAAAUAUUUAGAUAAAUAAGAAUGAAUAAAUAUUAAAAUGCAAAAAUAUGAUGAUGCAAAAUAUAAAUUAAUAAUUGGUUGAUAAUUAGGAUAAACCAAAUAUUAAAAUCUUUGGAAAAUUAGGAUAAAUAAAAAUGCAAAAAUAUGAUGAUGCAACAUAGGAGUAUUCCUACUUUUUUAUUAUAUAUGUGAUGAUAUUAAAGAUAAUUUAUUUGAAAUUAUUUUUCAUGAUCAAAUUAAAUUGAAGAAUCUAUUUAUUUUAAAUGCAUCUCAUCAAAAGUAUCCUUUUAUUUAUGUCUUUUUCAUGAUGAAGUUCAAUUUAAGAUCAAUGCAAGAAUGAUAAAAUAUCAACGUGGAACGAUGAUAAGCUAAUAUAUGCAUGGAGAUUAAGCCUUUUUUUAGUGCAAAAAUAUAUAUGAAAUAAUUUAAUUUGAAAUAAAUGCCAUAUAUGAGAAUGUGUUAGAUCAACACAUUCUUACAAAACUUCAUCAAUUCUACACUUAUUAUGACCAUAAUGAUAUAUCUUAGUAUCAUUUUCUUUAUUUUNCUGAAGCUUAUAAGAUUAUAACUAACUUCUAAACAUAAUCUUGUUUGGAGCUUGAAAAAACAUAAUAGGCUUAUGUGCAUCAUCUAAAAUACCAUAAUUGAGUUUCAAGCAUCAUUCCGUUUGGAUUUAAAAGAAUAUAACUGGCUAGUAAGUAUCAUCUUGUUUGAAGUUUGAAAGGUCAUAACUAAAUUUCGAUAAUCAUCUCGUCUAAGGCUUAAAAAAAUUAAUACGAGAUUCAAAUUAUAUCAUAUAAAUUUAUUUAGUAUCUCAAUUGGUAAAUUUCCAUAAAAAAUCAACGUGUAAUCCAACUUUUACAAAUAAAAAAAAUGUGCAAAAUAUCUUAUUUUAUGACAAAAUUUAAAUGAAGAAUUGUUUAUUUAAUCACAAGUAUUUAUUUUUAAAAAUAAAAUUAAAUAAUUUUUUAUUUAACCAAAUAAAAUUGAUCAAUCAUUCCACCAAUUAAAUGUGAAAAUUUGGUUUGAAGAGUAAGAACAUCCUUUUAUAUAGGUUUAAUUUUGGUGAAAUCACAUAAAAAAAAUCAAUAUGGGAUGAAAAGAUUUAGAUAAAUAAGAAUGAAUAAAUAUUAAAAUGCAAAAAUAUGAUGAUGCAAAAUAUAAAUCGAUAAUUGGUUGAUAAUUAGGAUAAACCAAAUAUUAAAAUCUUUGGAAAAUUAGGAUAAAUAAAAAUGCAAAAAUAUGAUGAUGCAACAUAGGAGUAUUCCACUUUUUUUAUUAUAUAUGUGAUGAUAUUAAAGAUAAUUUAUUUGAAAUUAUUUUUUAUGAUCAAAUUAAAUUGAAGAAUCUAUUUAUUUUAAAUGCAUCUCAUCAAAAGUAUCCUUUUAUUUAUGCAAGAAUGAUAAAAUAUCAAUGCAAGAAUGAUAAAAUAUCAAUGUGGGAACGAUGAUAAGCUAAUAUAUGCAUGGAGAUUAAGCAUUUUUUUAGUGCAAAAAUAUAUAUGAAAUAAUUUAAUUUGAAAUAAAUGUCAUAUAUGAGAAUGUGUUAGAUCAACACAUUCUUACAAAACUUCAUCAAUUCUACACUUAUUAUGACCAUAAUGAUAUAUCUUAGUAUCAUUUUCUUUAUUUUAUAUGACGAAAUUAAAUUGAAUAACUUAUUUAUUUAAAAUACAUUUAAGUAUUAUUUUAUUUUAUAUGACCAAAUUCAAUGAAGAACCUAUUUAUUUUUAAAACAUCUAUUAUUUAUUUAGGUUUGCAAAUAUUGAAAUCUAAUUACAAUUUUUUUUAGAGUUUGAAUUAUGAUGUUUAAUAUAAAUUUAAUGUGAAAAACUAUUGCAACUAUAAGAAAUGUGAAAAACUAUUUAUUUGAAAUACAUAUUAUAAGUAUUUCUUUAUCUAGAUUUUCCCAUGUUUAAAUUUAAUAGAAUAUCAAUGUGGGAAAGCUAGAUGAGCAAAUGUACUCAUGGAGAUUGAGCCUUUUAUUUAGGUAAUGAAUUGAUGAAGUUUGGUAUAAAUUCAAUGUGGGAUAAAUGAAAAUAAAUGUAAAAAUGUCAUAUUGUGUAGAAUGAGAAUGAAGUAAAUACUACAUUGUGAGAGUGCCACAUAGGAGAGAGAGUGAUGGAAAAUGCUCCAAUAUGUAUCAUAUUAAAUAAUAGAUAGAUUAUACGUGCAUUACAAACAACUAGCUUAUUAGUGGAUUUAUAAUAAUUUAUUUGCUAUUCACAUUUUUCAUGAAAAAUAACAAGUUAAAGUAAGAAUUCUAUUAAAUAAAAUAAGAACGUAGAACCAUUUUUAGCCAUCCGUUCAGUAAGAUCUACGGUGAAAACAUCAUCUUGAUGAAUAAAUGCAGCACUAGAUUUGAAUUCUGAAAUGAAAGAAAUUUUUAUUUUUUCCGAGUGCAGUAAAUUUAGCGGCCUAUCUAAUGGAUAUCACCGCAUUACUAAAGUUGUAGGUGAGAUGAUGGAGUUGAAUUAACUUUGAGGGGGGUUCCAUGAACGAAAAAGCAGAAAUAUGAACGAUAGAGAAGAAGAGAUGAUAUCGAAAUCACUUAUUCUUAGACAUGGUCGAAGCGGUAAUUUAUUAGGAAGCAAGAUCGUAUAGCCGAUGGGCUAAACUCUUUGGGUGUGAUGUAGAAGUGAGAGUCGAUGAGUGUUCAACGGGAA